AGAACGAACGCUGGCGGCAUGCCUAACACAUGCAAGUCGCACGAGAAAGGGGGGCAAUCCCUGAGUACAGUGGCGCACGGGUGAGUAACACGUGAAUAAUCUACCUCCGAGUGGGGAAUAACUGAGAGAAAUCUUAGCUAAUACCGCAUAACACUUACGAGUCAAAGCAGCAAUGCGCUUGGAGAGGAGUUCGCGGCCGAUUAGUUAGUUGGCGGGGUAAUGGCCCACCAAGACGAUGAUCGGUA
rnacentral:rRNA from 1 species